rnacentral:tRNA from 1 species
GCCGGCUUAGCUCAGUGGUAGAGCAACGGUUUUGUAAACCGUCGGUCAUCGGUUCGAAUCCGAUAGCCGGCU